GAUGAACGCUGGCGGCGUGCCUAAUACAUGCAAGUCGAGCGAACAGAUAAGGAGCUUGCGCCUUUGACGGUAGCGGCGGACGGGUGAGUAACACGUGGAUAACCUACCUAUAAGACUGGGAUAACUUCGUGAAACCGGAGCUAAUACCGGAUAACAUAUUGAACCGCAUGGUUCAAUAGUGAAAGGCGGCUUUGCUGUCACUUAUAGAUGGAUCCGCGCCGUAUUAGCUAGUUGGUAAGGUAACGGCUUACCAAGGCAACGAUACGUAGCCGACCUGAGAGGGUGAUCGGCCACACUGGAACUGAGACACGGUCCAGACUCCUACGGGAGGCAGCAGUGGGGAAUAUUCCGCAAUGGGCGCAAGCCUGAUGGAGCAACGCCGCGUGAGUGAAGAAGGCCUUCGGAUCGUAAAGCUCUGUUAUCAGGGAAGAACAAAUGUGUAAGUAACUGUGCCCAUCUUGACGGUACCUGAUCAGAAAGCAACGGCUAACUACGUG
rnacentral:rRNA from 1 species